GAGCUACCGCUAUUGGAGUUCGAUUAAGCCAUGCGAGUCCAGAGCUUUCGGAGCUCGGCGUACCGCUCAGUAACACGUGGGUAACCUAACCUAUGCAGGGGAAUAACCUCGGGAAACUGAGUAUAAUGCCCCAUAGUCCACUACGCCUGGAACGGUGAGUGGAUCAAAGCUCAGGCGGCAUAGGAUGGGCCUGCGGCGUAUCAGGUUGUAGGGGGUGUAAAGUACCCUCUAGCCAUCUACGCGUACGGGUGUUGGGAGACAUAGCCCGGAGAUGGAUUCUGAGACACGAAUCCAGACCCUACGGGGUGCAGCAGGCGCGAAAACUUGACAAUGCGAGCAAUCGUGAUCAGGGAACUCCAAGUGGCUGGGGUAAGACCCAGUCUUUUCAUAACUCUUCAAAGGUUGUAGAAUAAGGGGUGGGUAAGGACGGUGCCAGCCGCCGCGGUAAUACCGGCGCCUCAAGUGGUAGUCGCUUUUAUUGGGCCUAAAACGUCCGUAGCCGGUUUGGUACAUUCGUGGGUAAAUCAACUCGCUCAACGAGUUGAAUUCUGCGAGGACGGCCAGACUUGGGACCGGGAGAGGUGUGGGGUACUCUCAGGGUAGGGGGUAAAAUCCUGUCAUCCUGAGAGGACCACCUGUUGCGAAGGCGCCACACUAGAACGGAUCCGACGGUCAGGGGACGAAGCCUAGGGGCACGAACCGGAUUAGAUACCCGGGGUAGUCCUAGGUGUAAACGCUGUGGAACUUGAUGUUGGAAAAGCUCCGAGCUUCUUCAGUGUCGAA
rnacentral:rRNA from 1 species